rfam:Asian citrus Psyllid, Diaphorina citri - Florida Strain, whole genome shotgun sequence.
AGCAGCCUCGAUAGCCUGUUGAAUACACCAGUUUCCAAUGCUCGAAUACAUCGGUUCCGAUUUCCCAAUGGAUCACCGAGGUUAAGCAAUGUUGCUCAUGGUUAGUAUCCGGAUGGGUGACCCUCUGGGGAAUCGCGUGCAGAUGGCUUUUC